UACGGAGGGUGCAAGCGUUAUCCGGAUUUACUGGGUUUAAAGGGUGCGUAGGCGGGACUUUAAGUCAGCGGUGAAAGCUCCAAGCUUAACUUGGAAAUUGCCGUUGAUACUAUUGUUCUUGAAUUCGGUUGAGGUUGGCGGAAUGUGUCGUGUAGCGGUGAAAUGCUUAGAUAUGACACAGAACACCGAUUGCGAAAGGCAGCUAGCUAAACCGAUAUUGACGCUGAGGCACGAAAGUGUGGGGAUCAAACAGG
rnacentral:rRNA from 1 species